ACCUCAGCUAGGCGAACUCUUACCUGUCCCUCCUUACAGGUAAAACAAUGGAGUUCGCAUGAUGUGUGAUCAGCAUCUCUGCAUAGCCAGGACUCAGAGCAUCUUCCUUGUUCCUUUCUGCG